GAUAUCUUGUGUGCCGUGACAGAAAACAGCUCUAAUUUUCAGCCCUGCGCCGGAGACCCUGUCGGUGUAAUGAAACUACGCCUCUUUGCCUCGAGAAUCUCCAGGCUUUCCUGAGACCAGAGCUGUAAUCAAUGCCGGUUCUUUCAUGUUCGAGGACUCCUAACACGGACCCCAUUUUCCAGUACAGGGUCGGUUUAGUCUCUUUAUAGAAAAGCAGGCUGUGCGAACGCUGCCUGGGUGCCCGCGCUUUUCCCGGGCCAAAGGCCGGGCCUUGACCCACGCCCAUCUCCCUGCAGCAGGCCUUGCAGUGCGCCGGGGCGUCCAGCAGAUGGCGCCACAGUUGAAUUUUCCCGCGCUGUUGUCUGGCUGCGGGAAGCCUCGAAAAACCAGGAAGGGGAUUUUUUUUUUAAAGUAUUCUGAUUUUCAAUGCAUAUCACCUUAUUUGCCUUGUCAGAGGCACUUUUUAUUGACAUUAGUUGAACUUCACUUGAGAUCUCUUAAAAAAGUCAUGGAUUACGGAACUUGAAAUGCUUUUCUUUUGUUAAAGCUUCCAGUCUUUCAAAAACCUCCAAGAGGUGGGAUCUUGCUGUGUUACCUACCCAGGCUUCAAGUGAUCCUCCUGCCUCAGCCUUGCACACAGAGAGGAAGGGAGGACUGCGGGCAACACCACAGAACCACUUAGAUGAGGCAACACAGUUGACCUAACUGCUUCAAAGCAAUGAGAAGGAUAAAAGGGAGUGAACUGUUUGGUUUCUACAAGACUUCAACUCCAUGUGAAGAAGUGUGCAUCUACGUACAAUGUGAGAGUCUUGCUUGGAGCCUGAUCAAAACAGAUCAACUAUGAAAAGAAUCUUUAGAAGACUGAGAAUUAGAUGACAAUAAAGAGUUAGUGUUAA